AUUGAACGCUGGCGGCAUGCCUUACACAUGCAAGCCGAACGGCAGCACGGGAGCAAUCCUGGUGGCGAGUGGCGAACGGGUGAGUAAUAUAUCGGAACGUGCCCAGUCGUGGGGGAUAACGUAGCGAAAGCUACGCUAAUACCGCAUACGAUCUGUGGAUGAAAGCGGGGGAUCGCAAGACCUCGCGCGAUUGGAGCGGCCGAUAUCAGAUUAGGUAGUUGGUGGGGUAAAGGCUCACCAAGCCGACGAUCUGUAGCUGGUCUGAGAGGACGACCAGCCACACUGGGACUGAGACACGGCCCAGACUCCUACGGGAGGCAGCAGUGGGGAAUUUUGGACAAUGGGCGCAAGCCUGAUCCAGCAAUGCCGCGUGCAGGAUGAAGGCCUUCGGGUUGUAAACUGCUUUUGUACGGAGCGAAAAGGCUUCCACUAAUACUGGGGGCUCAUGACGGUACCGUAAGAAUAAGCACCGGCUAACUACGUGCCAGCCGCCGCCGUAACAC
rnacentral:rRNA from 1 species